rnacentral:rRNA from 1 species
AACGAACGCUGGCGGCAUGCCUAACACAUGCAAGUCGAACGCUCCGCAAGGGGAGUGGCGAACGGGUGAGUAACGCGUGGGAACCUGCCCAGUAGUUGGGGAUAACCGCGGGAAACUGCGGCUAAUACCGAAUACGCCCUAAGGGGGAAAGGAUUUAUUCGCUAUUGGAGGGGCCCGGCCGUCGGAUUAGCUGGUUGGUGAGGUAACGGCUCACCAAGGACGACGAUCCGUAGCUGGUCUGAGAGGANGAUCAGCC